rnacentral:rRNA from 1 species
UACAUAGGUGGCAAGCGUUAUCCGGAAUUAUUGGGCGUAAAGAGUGAGUAGGUGGCCAUUUAAGUCACAAGUCAAAUGCAGUAGCUCAACUACUGUUCGCUUGUGAUACUGAAAGGCUAGAGUGCGAGAGGGGUAAGCGGAAUUCCAUGUGUAGCGGUGAAAUGCGUAGAUAUAUGGAGGAACACCAGUGGCGAAGGCGGCUUACUGGCUCGUAACUGACACUCAGUCACGAAAGCGUGGGGAGCAAAUAGGAUUAGAUACCCUAGUAGUCCACGCUGUCAACUAUGGAUGCUAGAUAUUGGGGAAACUCAGUGCCGAAGCUAACGCGAUAAGCAUCCCGCCUGGGUAGUACGUUCGCAAGAAUAAAACUUAAAGGAAUUGACGGGAGCCCGCACAAGCAGUGGAGCAUGUGGUUUAAUUCGACGCUACUCGAAGAACCUCACCAGGACUUGACAUCUGGUUAAAUACCCUAGAGAUAGGGGGAUAGUUAUAGCCAAGACAGGUGGUGCAUGGUUGUCGUCAGCUCGUGUCGUGAGAUGUUGGGUUAAGUCCCGCAACGAGCGCAACCCUCGUCCUUAUUUGCCAUCAUUUAGUUGGGAACUAUAAGGAGACUGCCGAUGUAAAUCGGAGGAAGGUGGGGAUGACGUCAAAUCAUCAUGCCCUUUAUGUCCUGGGCCACACACGUGCUACAAUGGCCGAUACAAAGAGUCGCUAACCCGUAAGGAUCAGCAAAUCUCAAAAAAUCGGUCUCAGUUCAGAUUGAGGUCUGCAACUCGACCUCAUGAAGCUGGAAUUGCUAGUAAUCGCAAAUCAGCGAUGUUGCGGUGAAUACGUUCUCGGGCUU